UACGGAGGGUGCGAGCGUUGUCCGGAAUCAUUGGGCGUAAAGGGCGCGUCGGUGGCUGGACAAGCGUGCGGUGAAAGCUCGGGGCUCAACCCCGAGUCGGCCGUGCGAACUGUUUUGCUUGAGCACUGUAGAGGCAGGCGGAAUUCCGGGUGUAGCGGUGGAAUGCGUAGAGAUCCGGAAGAACACCGGUGGCGAAGGCGGCCUGCUGGGCAGUAGCUGACACUGAGGCGCGACAGCGUGGGGAGCAAACAGG
rnacentral:rRNA from 1 species